GUAAUAUAUAGAUAACGUGCCUCUUAGUCUGGGAUAGCCAUUGGAAACGAUGAUUAAUACCGGAUACUCCUUCUAACUCUAAUGUUAGUCGGGAAAGUUUUUCGCUAAGAGAUCGGUCUAUAUCCCAUCAGUUAGUUGGUAAGGUAACGGCUUACCAAGGCAAUGACGGGUAGCGGGUUUGAGAGGAUGAUCCGCCACACUGGUACUGAGACACGGACCAGACUCCUACGGGAGGCAGCAGUGAGGAAUAUUGCACAAUGGGGGAAACCCUGAUGCAGCAACGCCGCGUGGAGGAUGACGCAUUUCGGUGUGUAAACUCCUUUUAUGAGUCAAGAAAAUGACGGUAGCUCAUGAAUAAGCACCGGCUAACUCCGUGCCAGCAGCCGCGGAGGAUGACGCAUUUCGGUGUGUAAACUCCUUUUAUAAGAGAAGAAAAUGACGGUAUCUUAUGAAUAAGUCCCGGCUAACUCCGUGCCAGCAGCCGCGGUAAUACGGAGGGGACAAGCGUUAUUCGGAAUCACUGGGCGUAAAGGACGCGUAGGCGGGUUAUUAAGUCGGGUGUGAAAUCCAAUGGCUCAACCAUUGAACUGCAUUCGAAACUGGUGACCUAGAGUAUGGAAGGGGCAGGUGGAAUUAGUGGUGUAGGGGUAAAAUCCGUAGAUAUCACUAGGAAUACCGAAAGCGAAGGCGACCUGCUGGGACAUUACUGACGCUGAGGCGUGAAAGCGUGGGGAGCAAACAGGAUUAGAUACCCUGGUAGUCCACGCCCUAAACGAUGAAUGCUAGUCGUCGGGGAGCUUGUCUCUUCGGUGAUGCACUUAACAGAUUAAGCAUUCCGCCUGGGGAGUACGGUCGCAAGAUUAAAACUCAAAGGAAUAGACGGGGACCCGCACAAGUGGUGGAGCAUGUGGGUUUAAUUCGAAGAUACGCGAAGAGCCUUACCUAGCCUUGACAUUGAUUGAAUCUUUCAGAGAUGAGAGAGUGCCUUUCGGGGAACAU
rnacentral:rRNA from 1 species